rnacentral:rRNA from 1 species
GCGGGCGGGGACACAGGUGUUGCAUGGCUGUUUUCAGCUCGUGUUGUGAGAUGUUGGGUUAAGUCCCGCAACGAGCGCAACCCUCUUUUGCAGUUGCCAUCGGGUUAUGCCGGGCAUUUUGCAGAAACUGCCGGUGACAAGCCGGAGGAAGGCGGGGAUGACGUCAAGUCCUCAUGGCCUUUAUGGGGUGGGCUACACACGUGUUACAAUGGCGGUGACAGAGGGCGGCAAGGGGGCGACCCCGCGCCAAUCUCAAAAAGCCGUCUCAGUUCGGAUUGUUUUCUGCAAUUCGAGAG